CGCGUAGGCGGGCGAGCAAGUCUAGGGUGAAAUCUUUCGGCUUAACCGGAAAUAGCCUUGGAUACUGCUGGUCUCGAGGGAGGUAGGGGUCGUUGGAACUUCCGGUGGAGCGGUGAAAUGCGUUGAUAUCGGAAGGAACGCCGGUGGCGAAAGCGAACGACUGGACCUUUUCUGACGCUGAGGCGCGAAAGCCAGGGGAGCAAACG
rnacentral:rRNA from 1 species